UACGAAGGUCCCGAGCGUUAUCCGGAUUUAUUGGGUUUAAAGGGUGCGUAGGCGGGUUAUUAAGUCAGUGGUGAAAGCCUACAGCUUAACUGUAGAAUUGCCAUUGAUACUGAUGAUCUUGAGUAUGAUUGAGGUGGGCGGAAUGUGUCAUGUAGCGGUGAAAUGCUUAGAUAUGACACAGAACACCGAUUGCGAAGGCAGCUCACUACACAUAUAUUGACUCUGAGGCACGAAAGCGUGGGGAUCAAACAGG
rnacentral:rRNA from 1 species